rnacentral:rRNA from 1 species
CACGGGGGGAGCAAGCGUUGUUCGGAAUCACUGGGCGUAAAGGGCGUGUAGGCGGUCAGGUAAGUGGGAUGUGAAAUGCCCCGGCUCACCCGGGGACCGGCAUCCCAUACUGCUUGGCUUGAGUACGGGAGAGGAUGUGGGAAUUCCUGGUGUAGCGGUGAAAUGCGUAGAUAUCAGGAGGAACACCGGUGGCGAAGGCGCACAUCUGGCUCGAUACUGACGCUGAGGCGCGAAAGCUAGGGGAGCAAACGGG